rnacentral:lncRNA from 1 species
UAGGCUCAAUGUGGGCUGAAUCUUGAGACGUCAAAUCCUAACAACUAUCGUAUUUGCUUCUUCACCCACAUAUCCAAGGAGCUCCGCUCUAUCAACCCUUCUGCUGCCUCCUUCAUCGGGAUGGUGCUCUCCUUCUCGAAGUCAUCAUCAUUAGGGCUAUCAUCGUUGGAUAUGGCGAUAGCUUUGAUGAUGAUGUAGCAGAUAGUGUAGGCCAUGUCACUAUCGGCUU